rnacentral:lncRNA from 1 species
ACUCUCCCUUCCCAAGGGCAGCUGACACCAUGACUGGUCAAUGUAGUGGUAUACUUAGCCCCUGUAUCCCAACAAGGGGCAACUCUGAAGGGUCACCCCAGCUUGAGAACUCUGAAAAUCAAAGGCUGGUGUCUCAGGUUGUGGCCCAUUUAUGGUCUUGAAAUCAACUGAAUGUGUUAUGACCAGCGAGACAAAACGAAACAGAAUGGAACAGGGGGAAAUGUAGCAGCAUGUCAUAUUAGGUGACUGGAGUCAGGGAGAGAGCCUGUGCCUGUGCGAGGAAUGGUACAUAACCUCCGUGCUCCUUGGAAAAUCAGCAGCAGCAUUUUCAUAUCUGAAGAAUCUCUAUGCCAACUAUGUCAACCUUUUCAGAUGUGCAAAUUGCACCUAGUAGGUACAAGGGCUAGCAGAUGGCUCUAAUUUCAGAGUGCCCUUGACUACUAAAAAGAAGGCACUGAUGAGAAUUUGUCUCAGGCCAGUAUUUGGUUCUGCUACAUAUAGAAGGGAUUAGCCCUUCACUCGGAGGAUCACCAGCACAUACUCUCUGUGUGGCCCAGUCCAACUUCUGUCCUGUGGGCUGCUGCCCUGUUCUACCACCUAGUGCCCAGGCAAAACCCACAUUUUAAAAUGCAAAGGAAUAACCACUGCAUGGUAAACUUAGUGGGAAGGAAUCAUACAUACUACAGGAUCAGAUGUGCAUCCACAGGAGCAAUUUUCUGAAUUGACCAAGAAGGUAAGAGCAUCUCUGACUUUGGUCACUUUAGAAUAAGAAUGGUCUUGUUCUACCUGCCCCUGAUUAAGCCUCCAGGGAGCUUAGGAAACACAGUCUAGAAAAGACUACCUCAAAAAUGUAGACAUAUUCUACUGUGGAGGAAAAAAUGUGAACGCAGAUAUUGAUCACAUCUUGUGUUACCCCUUCUCUCCAAACUUAUCUCCAAAGGCAGAGAGGAUGGAGGCUGUCUGGAGGCUCCUCCUGGCAUAUUUAACUCCCUCCUGUCCCCCUCCUACUUGCAUAUAUGGACUUCUGCACUUAGGCGCAGGCUUCUCUGCCUGAGGUGGCCCAUUCUCAAAUGCGGGCCCCUGCAGGCCAGAAAUCUCUCCUCCCUCUCUUUACACAACCUUCUGAGUCUCAUGUGUAGUAGGUGCUCAAUAAGUGUUUGCUGAAUUGAACCCCGUUUUUCCACUGAGAGAGACUAAGGCAUAAAGGCUUCAGAUCACGCAGUUCAUGGAGCCACUGGGGCUUCUCUCCCUCACCUGGCCUGAUGUUUUCAGGCGGGGUGCGGUGGGUCAGGCCUGUAAUCCCAGAACUUUGGGAGGACGAGGUGGGCGGAUCACUUGGGCCCAGGAGUUGGAGACCAGCCUGGGCAACAUGGUGAAACUCCGUCUCCACCAAAAAUACAAAAAUUUUGCUGGGCGUGCGGGCGCACACCUGUGGUCCCAGCUACUCGGGAGGCUGAGGUGGGAGGAUCGCUUGACCCCGGGAGGCGGAGGCUGCAGUGAGCCGAGAUCCCGCCAUUACACUACAGCCUGGGCGACAGAGCAAGACCCUGUCUCAAAAAACAAACAAACAAAAAAAGUUUUCCUUAAGGAAGGGAUGGACUGGGGAGGCCUGGCUUGGGGGUCACUCCUAGGUGGCGACGCAGACCCUGAGCGCUUGCUUUGCAAGGGGACGAACUGAGCCAUCUUUUUGCUAUCAUUUAUCCGUCCCAAAUAAGCAGCUCUCAGAAAGUUUCCGUUUUGAAACUUCUCCGACACUCCUAUCCCGGGCUGGCUCCGGGCGCCAGAGCCGAGAGGAGUUACCUGCGA